UAUCUGGCUAAUAAAACACUUUGGCAAAGGCCACUAAUAAGCAAACCCGUAAAGGCAGAAAAGCCAACUAUAAACAGACAUGAAUUGAUCAGCAUUUGAUGUUUAAGAUGAAAAUAGCCGUGCAAAUUCAGUAAUCCACAUGUGUUUGUGUCUCCACAGAUCGCAGAACUGGUUGCCACCGAGUUCUUUGAACAAGGCGAUAAGGAGCGGAGAGAGCUGAACAUUGAGCCUAUUGAUCUGAUGAACAGGGAGAAGCAGGAUCAAAUUCCCAGCAUGCAAGUGUCUUUCAUUGAUGCCAUUUGUACGCAGUUAUAUGAGGCGCUGACGGGUCUCUCGGAGAACUGCUCCCCCCUGCUGGAGGGAUGUAGGAAGAACAGGCAGAAUUGGAAGAUUCUUGCUGAACAAGGAGAAGAAGGAGCUUUGCUGAAAGAAGCACUUUAACCUCUCUGUCUUCCUCGGACUCUUCGCAUCAUUCCCUGGCCCUUCCCCAGAGACUGAAGGACUGCAGGACCCUGGUGUGACGACUUCCACACAGCACUCUUGAGUAGGCUUGGGUGAAAGAUGUCUCAGAAUAAAGUCACUUCAUGAAUCGAGGUUGAUGUGCGAUAAAACACUUGAUGGAACAGAGAAGGAUGGAUCGUUACCUGUGCAGUGAUCCAGCGGAUGAAGAGACGUGCUUUAAAACUGUGACUAAAACAUCUUGACUCAUUGGAGGAAUGUUCCAGGUUCAAUACAAGUAUUUUUGACAUGCUGUUACCACAGAAAAUCAUUUUAUCACAAAAAACGUAGACUGUAAAAAAAUGUUCGUAGUUUU